rnacentral:rRNA from 1 species
UACGAAGGGAGCUAGCGUUGUUCGGAAUCACUGGGCGUAAAGCGCACGUAGGCGGAUGUGUCAGUCAGGGGUGAAAUCCCGGAGCUCAACUUCGGAACUGCCCUUGAUACAGCACAUCUGGAGUCCGGAAGAGGUGGGUGGAAUUCCUAGCGUAGAGGUGAAAUUCGUAGAUAUUAGGAAGAACACCGGUGGCGAAGGCGGCCCACUGGUCCGGUACUGACGCUGAGGUGCGAAAGCGUGGGGAGCAAACAGG